UGGGGAAUUUUGGACAAUGGGGGAAACCCUGAUCCAGCCAUCCCGCGUGUGCGAUGAAGGCCUUCGGGUUGUAAAGCACUUUUGGCAGGAAAGAAACGUCAUGGGUUAAUACCCCGUGAAACUGACGGUACCUGCAGAAUAAGCACCGGCUAACUACGUGCCAGCAGCCGCGGUAAUACGUAGGGUGCAAGCGUUAAUCGGAAUUACUGGGCGUAAAGCGUGCGCAGGCGGUUCGGAAAGAAAGAUGUGAAAUCCCAGAGCUCAACUUUGGAACUGCAUUUUUAACUACCGGGCUAGAGUGUGUCAGAGGGAGGUGGAAUUCCGCGUGUAGCAGUGAAAUGCGUAGAUAUGCGGGGGAACACCGGUGGCGAAGGCAGCCUCCUGGGAUAACACUGACGCUCAUGCACGAAAGCGUGGGGAGCAAACAGG
rnacentral:rRNA from 1 species